rnacentral:misc_RNA from 1 species
CGACGGCAUCGACGGCAACGACGGCAACGACAACGACCUCCGAGUUAGAGCAACGUAGUACUGCGACAAGGAUGGAGACAGAUGAAUAAAUCGUUCGUUAAGAUCGAUAAUGAGGUCAAAAAAGUACUUCAUCUUCAAUAAGAAGCUACUUUAAAAGUGUAUUAAAAUAUAAUACGAGGGAAUAAUAUCAAAUAAAGAAAGUGUUGUGGUGUAUGUGUCCGGUGUCAAGAAGAAAGAAAGAGAAAAGGAGAGAGAGAGAGGGGUACUUGAAAUUUCGUAAAAAAGGGUUGGAUGUUGCUGACGAGAUUUCUGCGGUCCUAUCGGAGUAGAAUUGCACCGGUAGAAGUUGUAGAUAGACACCUUCCAGCGAGAGAACGAUUAGUCGUUCACGACGAUAGGAGGAGGAGGAAGAAGAAAAGAAGGAGAAGGAGGAGGAAAAGGAAGGAGGAGGAGCUGCAGCAGCAGCACCACGUUCGAGAGGAGAGGAAGAAGAGAGCGCAAAAGCGAAGUUGAAAGUGUGUGUUGGGAGGGGAGAAGCAAGAAAACUGUGUUCACGAGAGAUAUAGAGAGAAUCUUGGAGCCAGCAGAAGCAAAAUAAGCACCAACGGUAGCAAGCAGCCUUGGUGGUGGUGUCCAUGAGACAAGAAGAUGAGAAGAAGGAUGAAGCUGCUGCUCGUGCUACUCUGCGUUGUCCUGGCGCCUCUGGCGAUGUGCCAGCAACAAAAGAGAAUAACGUCCAAGUCGUCGCCGGUAGCUUUUAUAAAGUAUCCAGAAAAUACAGCUAUGGGCACCUACGAGGAUGAUUUCGUCGAAAGGAUAAACAAAUUCGAUGAAUUGUCGGAAGAUUUAUCCAACUUGGCUGUUUAUAGGAAUACCAGGGCCAUCGAUGACAAUAGGUCAGUAGACAGCAUCGAUGGUUCGAACAAAAGCUAUCAACAUUCCUCGCAUUAUCCGAGAUCAAGGACUAAAUCUAGCGAGGAGAUACGAGAGAAAACACGAAGAUCUAAGAAUGUAACAAUAGGAGAUGGUAUAUGUCAGAGCAUCGAUAUUAGGAACAACGUUCAUAAUUUUGCGAUACUACAAGGUUGUCGCGUGAUCGAGGGCUUCCUACAGAUUGUUCUGAUCGAGAAUCAUACAGGAUCAGAUUUUGAAAACGUUAGCUUUCCAGAUCUAAGAGAGAUUACUGGUUAUUUUCUGCUUUAUCGCGUUUACGGAUUGAAGAGCCUUGGAACUCUAUUUCCGAAUCUCGAGACCAUCAGAGGAGAUAUACUGCUUACGGAUUAUGCAUUUAUGGUGUACGAGAUGCAAAACCUGCAGGAGAUCGGCUUAACAAAACUGACGAAGAUUGCAAGAGGUGGGGUAAGAAUUGAAAAAAAUUCAGCCUUGUGUUAUACCAAUACAUUAAAUUGGAACGUUAUAGUCACGGCUGGAGAUAAUUUUAUCAAGGACAAUAACAAUGAAAGUUCAUGCCCUGGUUGCUCUUCUCAGUGUUCUGAUGGUCAUUGUUGGACCGCACAACAUUGUCAAGUAACUGAAAAACCAAAGUGUCAUGAUCAGUGUCUUGGAGAAUGCAAUGGCGAAACGGAUAGAGAUUGUUACGUUUGUAAACACUAUAGGCAUGAAGGAAAAUGCGUUGAGAGUUGUCCAAGUCAUUUAUAUGCCUAUAUAUCAAGAAGAUGUAUUACUGAAUUAGCAUGUAUAAGAAUGAAUAACUUGAGGAAAAUAUGGAGACUCGAAGAUGAACAAAAAUGGCGACCCUUUAACGGUUCUUGCAUCACUCAGUGUCCCGAGGGAUACGAGGAUCAUGUCGAUGAAAAUAACGUUACCACCUGUCAAGUUUGCAAGGCACGAUGUCGUAAAAUAGGUCAUAGUGCUAUAAUAAGGCACAUCUCGGAUGCUCAAAUAUUUCGAGGGACGACUGUAGUAGACGGGGCUUUGGAAUUCCAAAUAAGAAAUGGUAAUCCAAACAUCAUGCGAGAACUGACUGAAGCUUUUGGUUUGAUAGAAGAGAUCACAGAGUAUCUGAAAGUGACUCACUCCUUUCCAAUAACAUCAUUGGGCUUCUUCAAAAAACUCCGAGUUAUCAAAGGUAAAAGAUUGGACAUAAACAAUGCGAGUUUAGUCGUAUUGGACAAUCCAAAUCUUUCGAAUCUCUUUCCGUCGACGCAGAAGAUCGAUAUUGAAAAUGGAAGAUUGUUCUUUCAUUACAAUCCUAGACUUUGUAUGUACAAGAUCAUAGAAUUCAGUAAAAUGGUAAAGAUAACAGACUUUAGCGAUCUCGAGGUGCAACCAGAUUCUAAUGGAGAAAAGGUAGCUUGUAGUGUAGUCAACAUAAAUAUCACGGUUAAAGAAAAAGGCCCGAAUUAUAUCGAUUUGAUUUGGGAUAGUUAUGAGCCACCUAUAGGACAACAAUUGUUAAGUUAUAUUUUGAGUUACAUGGAAACCGAAAAUGAAAACAUCACUUACGAAGGGAAUUCUUGUAGUAAUAAUACUUGGCAAAUGCUUGAUGUAGACAUACCCAAUGGAAAUUCUUUAUUUCAGAAGACAGUAACCAAACAUAUUUCGGGUUUGAAGCCGUACACGAAAUAUGCCGUUUACGUAAAGACUUUUUCUAUGAGAAACGAAAGUUUUUUACUUUCGUCUAGUAGUCCCGUAGGUCAGUCGAAGAUAAUAUUUUUCAGAACGAGCAGUGACAUACCUUCUAUGCCUACCGACGUUGUUUCUGUUGCAUUGAGCGAUACCGAGAUUAUGGUCAAAUGGAAUCCACCGGAGUAUCCAAACGGUCCUAUCGGUUACUACAUGAUAUCCGCUUCAUUAAAACAAGACGACGCAAAAUUUCUUUCAUCCAGAGAUUACUGCAAAUACGGCUUGAUAAAUGAACCUGAAGUAGAAGAAAUACAAGAAGUUACUAAAAUACCAUUACAACCAAUCGCUCCUCCUACCUCUUGCUGUUUCAAAGAUGAAUUUACUACAUUGUCAACUUCAAAAAAGUUCCAGAUGCUAUUGUGUAAUAAAAAUUUCGGGAUAAGUUCUUUAAAUGCUGGCUGGAAAGAUUCUUGCGUUUUCAAUCGAUACAAUUCAGUGUACGAUUUCAAAUACAAAUCGGAAAAUAAAGUGAAUAUUAUCAACAAUGAAUUAAUUUAUAACGUUAGCGCUGGAAAUAAUUCAUUUCAUUUGAAAUAUCUAAAACACUUUUCUUUAUAUACUAUAUCUGUUGCUGCUUGCGGAGUUAAACUUCGAGACGAUGAGCAUAUGUGUUCGUCUGUGGAAUACACGAACAUUCGAACGAAAAAACGGGAGAUGGCCGAUAAUGUUAGCAAUGUUAAAACUCACAUGAUCAACAGUUCAAUAGUCGUGGUUUCUUGGGAUACCGUUAGAAAUCCCAAUGCACUCACUGUAAGUUAUACGAUAGAAUAUACGAAUUUGAAUGUCAAAGAUGCAAAGAAAAGUACCGAGUGUAUACCAUACGUUGGACGUUACGAGGAUCGUAAAAUUUACUACAUUAAGAAUUUAAGUCCUGGUCUAUACGGUCUACGAAUACGUUCUACUUCAUUAGCCGGCAGUGGUAAUUUUUCCGAGAUGGUUCGUUUUAACAUCGAAUUCAUUGAUGAUAAUAGAGUACUAGUGAUACCCUUGGCAAUCUUUGGAUUUUUCAGCGUGGUUGCUAUAAUUGGAUAUUGUUACUUGAGAUAUCGUCGAAAGAAGAAUACUCAAGCAAGAUUGAUAGCCUGUGUAAAUCCUGAUUACAUAGAAACCAAAUAUAUCCUUGACAGUUGGGAGGUACCUAGAGAAAGCGUCAAGAUCUUGGAAGAACUUGGUAAUGGUAAUUUCGGUAUGGUAUGCCGUGGUCUUUUGGGAAACGAGGAGGUAGCGAUCAAGACGAUCUCUGCGGCAUGCAGCGAGCGUGAGAAGAACGAGUUCUUAAAUGAGGCCUCGGUUAUGAAGAAUUUCUCUACCUUUCACGUAAUCAAAUUAUUAGGAGUCGUUAGCUUAGGUUCUCCGCCGUACGUCAUAAUGGAACUCAUGGAAAACGGAGAUUUGAAGACUUAUUUGCGACGCAUACGAGACACCGAUUUAAUUCCAGAUACCUCGAGGAUAAUAAGAAUGGCGGCUGAGAUUGCGGACGGCAUGUCUUUUUUGGAAUCGAAGAAGUUCGUUCAUCGUGACUUGGCUGCUAGAAAUUGUAUGAUCUCGAAGGAUUUGGUUUGUAAGAUUGGAGAUUUUGGAAUGGCCAGAGACGUCUACGAGACCGAUUAUUAUAAAAUCGGAAAGAAGGGCCUUUUGCCAAUUAGAUGGAUGGCACCUGAGAAUCUUUCGGAUGGCGUUUUCACAUCCGACUCGGACGUUUGGUCAUUCGGUGUUGUACUCUACGAGAUACUUUCUCUCGCUGAGAUACCCUAUCAAGGAUUUUCUAACGAUGAAGUAUUAAAUUACGUGCUUCACAAAGGUGUUCUUAGUGUACCGAAAAACUGUCCUAUUAAUAUACAAAAAAUAAUGGAAAAGUGUUUCAAAUGGCGACCGAGCGAUCGUCCAACGUUCAUGGAAAUCGUAGGGGAAUUGGAACCAUUUUUGGCCCAAGACUUUUGUGAAAAAUCCUUUUAUCACUCAAGCGAGGGUAUACAUAUGCGUAAUCUUGGAAUAAAGAAGGCCUUUCAUCAAGCUGCACCGAUACGUUUUCAUUGGGGUAACGAGACUGCUAGAUGGGUUCGAGAAUUUGAGGACAAUGUGACGCUUCUUGAUCAGACUAGGGCUAGCACCAGUCGUGGCCGAAUAUUCAGGAGCGGUUUUCAACAGGUCGGUAAUGUUCCACCUUUAGAGGAAGUUCCUCUAAAUCGAUAAAGUUUUUCUCUCGUUUUUCAAAGUCGCGUCUUAUAUAUAUAAUAAUAAUAAUAAUAAUGUCUUAUUGUUGCCGUGUUUGGUCUCGCGCGUGCAUGAAUAUGAAUACGAAAGAACAACAACAACAAACAAAAGAAAAAAAGCGAAGAAGAAAAAUGGUUAAUGAUUAUGUACAAACAUACACUCAGGGCAAUAUAAUGGGACGAAUAAUUGGAAGAGGAAAAGAAAGAUUAUUUACGUUCUCUUCCUCGGCGGGACCAGACGCGAAUCCUCUUCUAAUAUCGUCGCGAAACGAAGAAAGACUUAAAUAGGACUAUUAGUUUAGAUAACAUACCUACAAGUUAAUAACGCAUAUCGCCUAUUCUUUCUUCUAUGGAAGUCACGGUUCAUGGACCUACAAAUAUAUGUAUUUAGGAUAAAUCCACUUUUUUUAAUGUGUUUCAUUUUCUUUUUCUACUUUUUUUUUCUUUUUUUUUUUUUUUGUUUCUUAAGCGCAACCAAAUGUUCGACAAGCCUUUUUUUAAUCAUUCAUUCCUAGAAAGAAAGAAAGAUUAGUUUUAGCGAGUCUCUAGAACUUGAUGAAAGAGUAUUUUAGUCGAAGUAUCAUUGUCUUACCACAGAGUUCCUUCUCGCAUACAUACCCUUAUAUACACGGGCAUGCAUUAAUUCAUAGUUUUCACGCAGAUUCUAUAUAUAAAUAUAUAUUAUUAUUACAUAAUUACAUACAUACCCACAUUAAAACUUAAUGCACUAACAAUAAGCAAUCGAUGCAAAUCAAUAGAUCAUUUAGUCUGAAUUAGAAAAAAGAAAAAAAAAGACGAUUUUCCAUUAACAAGUAUAUAAACAUACAUAUUCAUGGUGACCCAUAAGUAAGUUGACAAAAAUGCAUUAUGUUAUUAUU